GCCUCCGUAGCUCAGUUGGUUAGAGCACCACCUUGACAUGGUGGGGGUCGGUGGUUCGAGUCCACUCGGACGCACCA
rnacentral:tRNA from 1 species